rnacentral:lncRNA from 1 species
AGGACCUAGAAGCUAUUGAGCUAAAAUGCUAAAAAUUAGCUAAAAUUAGCAUUUUAGCUCAAUAGCUUCUAGGUCAUGUAAUCAAUUGACUCAAAAUUAGUAUUGGAUCAUAGUACUCACCUCUCUACAUGAGAUACACCUCUUGAUUUUAAAUUUGAAAAAUUUUCAAAUUUCCUAUAAAUUUUUAUGUGUAAAAAUUAGCAUUAACUAUGUGACAGAAACGCUUCCAUAUGAAAAGAUCUCAAAUUUAACUAGGCUACAUGUCCAGAUACCUUGAAACAUAGAACAUAUAGAUUUUUCAAUUAAAAAAACACUGGUUAGGAAUUGUAACAUGUUUUUUUAUGUGUUGGUCUGUUGGCUGUUUAUUGCUAACCUAGGCAAUAUUUUGUUUUGAUAAUGUCAGAUCUCAUGGAACGGAAGUUUGCUGUGGUGAGGUGGAUUGAAGGAGAGGAUGCUGGGAAGUUAAGUGAAGUCAAGACUGAGACCAUCCGGGCAUAUGACGAUUCCAAAAUGGACCAGCAUGGGUAUCCUAUCGUUGAGUAUUCAGCUAUUAUGGAAUGGCGCCAUGGGAAGAAACCGCGAGGAGGAUGGCCUCACUACAGAGGCACUGUGCUGUUUGUCAGCGCAACUCGCUUUGAGGCAACCUGUAAAAUGAACUCGCUGCUGAAGACUGAUGAACCUCUACUAACCAAGAGGAAAUCGGUCCUGCCUCAGAAAUAUCAAGAUGAGUCAGAUAACUCGACCGACACUGACAGUCAGAUUCUGACUCAGUCGUUACAUGUCAAGAAGUCAAAGGUACAGAAAAGAAAAGACCCUGCUGAAGAUUUUCUUGAGAUGUACUGUCGUCCACAAACUCCUUCAGGG